AACCAUUCCAACUGCACCAGGUAUCAAGAAGAGACCUGAGAACGAAUCAUUAUCGAAAGAAAAAAAAAAGACGGAAGGCCAUUUCUACAGUCGCGUAUGAGCUUUCCAAAACCUCCUUGUAGUAUCGAGUUUUUUGUCUUGUGGAGGUGAAUAUAACCUAAAAUGGAAUCGACCAUCCAGCCCCUAAUGGCUAUUAACAGUUGGAAUGAGAGUACCAAUGCACCGGAUGUUGACAUUAGAGAAACGUAAACCCGUCAGAAAAAGGUAGGUUUCAAUUUUGAAUUCAGUGGUGGAAUGAAGAGGAACUGCAGAAAAUGAAGAAAUAGGAGGGGUUAAGAUAGGAGGUGGAUAUCAUUUUUGAAACUUGGAUUCAUUUGCUGCGGAUCGCUGUAAGUUGUAUACAAGCUCAAUUUUGAGUUAUAAACGCGAUGGGACCAUAUAUAUUUUUGGUGAAUUUUUUGUUAGUGCUUGGAAUGAACUUUCAGAUGUGACCAAGGAUAUGUCUGUAAGUAAAAUAGCAAAUUAGCCAGGGGUGUUUAAGUUAACAUUGCGCUCUAUGGGAAAUGAAUUGGUACACUUUUCCCCAUGUCAGCACCUUAGAAAUGUUCGAUAACUCUUACUUAUAAAUUCGAAACUGUAUAAGAAAAUAUGUUUGGACAUUGGAGUGUUUCUACCGACACACGGCAAUAAACGAUGACGAUCGAAGAGCAGUUCAUUGGUAACGUGAAGACGCCGAUCGUUCAUGUUACAAGAAUGAUGGUUCAUACAUGUAUCAGAACUAUUCUUAGCUGAGCUCACAUGGUUUGUAAACACUAAAAAACUAUUAUAAGUUCUGUUGACUAUUUUAAGUAAGAGCAAUAGACAAGCAAUCUUUUUACCCGAGCCCAGCGAAAGUCGCUUAUUUAAAAUUAAUUUAAAAUUAUUAAAAAUACCAAGAAUCAACCAUUUUAUACAUUUAAAAUGAAAGAACAAAAUUUGAAAUCGUGUUCAGAUCCCUUUUAAUUCAGAAGAAAACUUUUCUUAAUGAUAUUUUUUUUCUCUUAUAGAGACUCAUUAAGAGGGGAAAUAAAAAGUUCGGCAUGAAUGUACUUUUUGUCACCAAGUAACUUUUCACUACAAAAAUUGUUUAAAGUAACUUUAUUUAUCAAUUUGGUCAUGGUUCAGAGUGACUGUCGAUUGUGUUGCCUGUGGCUUUCAUAGUCUAACUUUAUUAUUUUAUUAUGUUUAAUAGAUUUAAACAUUUUGAAAUCCGAGAGGUCUGAACAUUGGAGAAAGAAAAAUUGAAAAGCAACUGACAUUUUGCGUUUGAAGCGUAAUGAGCGUCAAGUCUUGGUGGUUCUAUUGGCCUGUGGAAUACCUUCCCGAAGAAACUUUUUUAUGUAAUUGCGCUCGGGUCUUGUGUACACUGAUGUAUUUUUUAAGGCUAAUCGAAAUCAGCAAGGGAAUGAGGCUUACAAAAAUAGACUCCAGUAAAACAAUAUCUUUUUUUCAGUUUUAGUACAUGUAAAUUGUGUUUGAACAAUCGAACGAGAGGACAAGCAUCGUUCGUUUUAACACUGUUGUUUCAAAUACAGAUUCAAGAUAUAGUUUGGCGAUUUAUGAAAUAAGAUUGCCCUGGAAUAAAACAUCCCAAUG
rnacentral:sRNA from 1 species